rnacentral:rRNA from 1 species
UAUGUGAUCGUCUCUCGCAUAUCAAUAAGCGGAGGAAAAGAAACUAACAAGGAUUCCCCUAGUAACGGCGAGUGAAGCGGGAAGAGCUCAAAUUUGAAAUCUUAAAGGGUUUCCCUUUACGAAUUGUAGUUUAAAGAAGUGUUUUCUGUUGAGGUUUUGGUAAAAGUUCUUUGGAAUAGGACAUUAUAGAGGGUGAGAAUCCCGUAUUUGACCUUUACUUUCAACUUUGUGAUACACUUUCAAAGAGUCGGAUUGUUUGGGAAUGCAGUCCAAAAUGGGUGGUAAAUUUCAUCUAAAGCUAAAUAUUGGCGAGAGACCGAUAGGCGAACAAGUACCGUGAGGGAAAGAUGAAAAGAACUUUGAAAAGAGAGUUAAACAGUACGUGAAAUUGUCAAAAGGGAAGCGUUUGACACCAGUGUUGUUUUUCUGAAAAUCAAUUAAAGAACUGUUUAUGCUAAGUUGUUUAGACUUUAUCAGCUAACUGUUUAGUUUUGAGCUUUUCUUUAAUGCACUUUUCAGUUAACAAGUCAACAUCAAUUUCUUUUGCUGUAAAAAAGCUUGAGGAAGGUGGCUUGAGAUUCGUCUUAAGUGUUUAUAGCCUCUUGCCUAUGCAGUCGGAGAGAUUGAGGUCUGCAGCGUAGAUCCUUCGGGGCUAAAUGCAUUUGUGCUAAGUUAUAGCAUUUUAUAGACAACUUGUUGACUAUGAUUUGUCUUGUAGCUUACUCGCUUAUGUUAUUUUACCUACGCUUAGGAUGUUGACUGAUAUGUAGUCGUA